rnacentral:rRNA from 1 species
AUUGAACGCUGGCGGCAGGCCUAACACAUGCAAGUCGAACGAGUGGCGGACGGGUGAGUAAUGUCUGGGAAACUGCCUGAUGGAGGGGGAUAACUACUGGAAACGGUAGCUAAUACCGCAUACAAUCGGAUGUGCCCAGAUGGGAUUAGCUUGUAGGUUAGGUAACGGCUCACCUAGGCGACGAUCCCUAGCUGGUUUGAGAGGAUGACCAGCCACACUGGAACUGUGACACGUUCCAGCGUCCUACGAGAGUCAGCAGUGGGGAAUAUUGCGCAAUGGGCGCAAGCCUGAUGCAGCCAUGCCGCGUGUAUGAAGAGGGCCUUCGGGUUGUAUAGUACUUGCAGCGGGGAGGCGUUACCCGCUGAAGAAGCACCGGCUAACUCCGUGCCAGCAGCCGCGGUAAUUC